rnacentral:lncRNA from 1 species
UGGCUCAUGCCUGUAACCCCAGCACUUUGGGAGGCCCAGGAGGGCGGAUCACUUGAGGCCAGGAGUUUGAGAUCAGCCUGGCCAACAUGGUGAAGCCCCAUCUCUACUAAAAAAAUACAAAAAAAUAGCCAAGUGUGGUGGUGUGCACCUGUAGUCUCAGCUGCCAGGGAGGCUGAGGCACUAGAAUUGCUUGAACCCAGGAGGCAGAGGUUGCGGUGAGCCAAGAUCGUGCCACUGUACUCCAGAUUGGGCAACAGAGCCUCAAAAAAAAUAAAUAAAAAUAAAUGGGAACAACAAUAGCCAUCUUUUAGAGUUGCUGUCAGAAUUAAAGGAGAUAAUCAUACAAAGAACUAGCCCUUUCCAACUCACUGUAAAUCCUCAAUCCAUGUUAGCUUUUUGUAACAUUAAUAACAUAGCAAUAAUAAUUUGUAGCUUGAAUAAUAGUAAGUUGCCUAAAGAGAUGUAGCUAAGGAAGUCUGAGUUAGCCUUUGGACUCUGAACUGCCUCUGCAUUUAGCACACUGAUAUGCAGAGCAAGCUGUAUCCACACUGAUCUCAGUGUGCUGCAGUUUCAAAAGCUGUUCAGCUGGGAUCAAGGAAAGCAAUGACCGCCUACUCCCCAAAUCCUUUCUAUUUCGAAAUUCCCAGGUCAAUGAUGACCAUUGCCAGAGGGUCUCAGGAAGGUGGAAUCCACAUGGAGAGUUGGAAAAGGGAGGCCGAGGUGGGCAGAUCACCUGAAGUCAGGAGUUCAAGACCAGCCUGGCCACCAUGGCGAAACCUCGUCUCUACUAAAAAAUACAAAAAUUAGCUGGGUGUUGCAGUGGGUACCUGUAAUUCCAGCUACUUAGGAGGCUGAGGCAGGGAGAACUGCUUGAACCCAGAAAGCGGAGGUUGCAGUGAGCUGUGAUUGUGCCACUACACUCCAGCCUGCAACCCUGUCACAAAAAAAAAAAAAAAAAGAAAGAAAGAAAAAAAGAAAAAUGAGUGGGAACUGAGGAAGUCUAAAUAAAAUUCUAAACAGCAAGUAUAAACCUUUGUUUUUUCAAUGAAGAGGAAUCACUAGAGUGGACACAGGAGGAUGGUGGAAAUUGAAGACAGGUAAGAAUAGAACACAUUUAUUGACGGAGAGGAGGGAGCUAGCAGAAAGUAUGGUUAACAGAGAGAGAAAAUAAGUGAAGACCCCAGUCCUUAAGGAAGGACUGUGAGGAUGGGGCAAGAGGAGGGAAGGAAAAGCGUCACCUCUUCCACUGAGGGCUAGAAAGGAGGUGGAGACAAGUGCAUAGGCAUUUGCAUGUCUGAGCAGGGCUUUGAAGAGGGUAAAUGUCUAAAAGCCUCUAGCAUCUCAGAAAAGUUGAAGAUGAGGUUAUAUGCUACACUGGAGAGGAGUAGAGACAAGACUGGAAAAUUUGAGUGCAUGGCUUCAGGUCUGAAAUAAACAUUGGAAGGCGACAGAGAGGAAGUUGAACCAGUCUGUGUAGAAGGAUGUGAGCACUGGGAUUUCAAAGACGAGGUUUGUAGAGGCCCCAGUCUGCAUCUUUAUAUGAUUUCCUCCAGCAUUUUUGUAACAUUACAUUGCAUUUUGUAACAUUGCUGAGCCCCUCUUUGAGUAAUUGGCAGAAAAGGCUGAGUCCUCAUAGAAUUGUGUGCUAUUUCUAAAACAUAUCCAUGGUUUAAAAAGCUUUAAGAUCUAUAAACUAAAAUCCACCCAUUUUGCAGGAUGAUUCACAGUGUCGACAGUUUGGAUCAAUUUCCUGAAGAAAGGACAAAACUGGAAGCUAUUCUUUAUGAGAGAAGAGAAUUCCAACCAGUGAGAUGAGAAUUGCACAAAUCCUGCAGCCCAUCUCUGCCACAGCUCAAAGUAAGCAACUUUUACUGCUGUAUUCUUAAAUAGUCCCAAGGAUCAAAUUAUAUCUCUGCUAAAACAUUGUUAGGCCUAACUUCCUCACCAAGAAUGUGGACUUUGGUCCGACUGCCAGGUUAAGAGGGCGUUUCUUGAAAACUUUUGUUUCUUUGUAGGCACAGUAUGUGCUUAUUAGAUAUAAAAGCUAAUGGAUUAACUAAUUCCUUUAGCCUUUCCAAAAUAGAGGUUUC